UGCACUGCCUACAGUUGCUUCGGCGUCUUGUUGAGGGCACCUCUUGUGUUGGGAGGCGCGCCCGCCGUUGGGCCUAACGCUUGUUUUGUUUCUUCUUUACUUUUUAUCAUUUUGAAUUUUCUUCAAACUUUUCUUGCUUCUGGCUUGGAUCUCGAAUCGAUGAAACGCAUAAAUGUGAAUUGCAUAUGAAUUGCAAAUUUUCAAUGAAUGAACGCUCUUGCGCCGCAUUGAUUCCCUCUGGUAUGCAUGUGGGAUGCCUGUUGACCCUCAUUUCCCUCUCGACCCGGUGGGGAUCUUGCGUGAUACUCUAGGACGACUAGGCCCUUGCUUGAAAAGYAUAGCCAUGGUGGCCUCCUCUGCGAGCUGUGAACUUCUCAAUGUAUUAAGUUUAUCCCCUGCCGAAUGCCGUGGACUUACAUUGUGGACUUGUUAGCCGGCCUUACACCAACUAAACUUGUUUGACCUCAUAAUCCGGAAGAAUACCCGCUGAACUUAAGCAUAUCAAUAAGCGGA
rnacentral:rRNA from 1 species